CAUAUUAGUACCAUGAAUCUUGUCAUUCCUAAUUUAUAAAAUGAAGAAAAGAAAACCACUGCAUCAUGUGUUGUGAGGAUGAAAUGAAAUGUAGGAAAAAAAUGUCCGAUCCGAUACCCGACACGAAAUCAAUGUUCAGUGGUAAAGACAGGAAACUCUGAAUUCAGGGACCGAACUGAACUGGACUGAACUCAGGACUGUGUAAUUUGCAGAGCCUAGCUCAGUGUCUGCUACAAAAAUAAAAGGAAAAAAAGAGAAUUUCAAGAUGAAAGGAAUGAUUUAACACUGAAUGAGACUUGAAGGAAAAAAAAGUGAUGUUCAUAAUAAAAUCAAAAGGAAAUAAGAUACAAGAUCAGAAGUUAUUCUCAAACACUAUACACCAAUGGAACUCAACAUCUUAUUCUCUCAAAACCCAGUAAAUGAAAAUAACUAGCUGACUUCCUAACCUUAAAAUAAUGCUUUUUGUCUAAUGUAUGAAAAGGGGAUUAUUUUGAGGUAACAAUUCAAGUACAGUUUAUGAAUUUUCCCACAGUAGGUACUCACUAAAAAAUAAAUAAUAUCUACAAUAAUAUGAAAUAUAUAUAGAGAGAGAGUAUCUCUUGAAUUGUAUUAGCAAAGCCCUACCAAUUGUCUUCACCAGGAAAAUAGCCUAAUUAUCCAUGUCCAACAUUCUGAUUACAGUAAACUAUGUACACCUAAAU